rnacentral:lncRNA from 1 species
GGGCCAUUCUAUACGGAGCGAUCGAGAUAGGUGCCUUACCAGGGACCAACUCGAUACGAAAUUCAACUUCCCUAGCUGGUGGUAAUCCAGGUAACUCUUUCGGGAACACAUCUAUAAACUCACAAACCACUGGUACUGAUUCAAUCUUCGACUCAGACACUUGGGUAUUCAACACAAAAGCUAGGUAAGCCUCAUAUCCUUUUCUCAAAUACUUCUCAGCAAUCAAAGACAAUACU